GAAAACGCUGAAGAUUAAGUGGGAUUUGGGGCUGUUUGGGAGGGGAAAAGGGGGGUUUUGGAAGAAAAAAAUGGGAAGUUUGUAACAGAAAAUGAAGGAAUUUUUGAAGGAAAAAAGGGUUCCAUCUGGGGUCCCAUAAGGGUCCCCUUAUGGGGAUCUUUGGGUUCCAUAGGGAUCCCAUAGGGGGUCCCAUGGGGAUCUUUGGGUUCCAUAGGGGUCUCAUAGGGGGUCCCAUGGGGAUCUUUGGGUUCUAUAGGGGUCUCAUAGGGGGUCCCAUGGGGAUCUUUGGGUUCCAUAGGGAUCCCGUAGGGGGUCCUAUAGGGAUCUUUGGGUUCCAUAGGGAUCCCAUAGGGGUCCCAUAGGGAUCUUUGGGUUCCAUAGGGAUCCCAUAGGGGGCUCCUUGGGGGU
rnacentral:lncRNA from 1 species